UUAAGCUACUAAGAGCAUAGGGAGGAUACCUUGACACCAAGAGCCGAUGAAGGACGUGAUAAGCUGCGAAAAGCUAUGGGGAGGAGCAAAUAUCUAUUGAUCCAUAGAUAUCCGAAUGAGGAAACUCAACUAGAAGAAAUAAUCUAGUUAUCCAUACGUAAGUAAAGUAGCGUAUGAGAAGGGAACGCAGGGAACUGAAACAUCUUAGUACCUGCAGGAAAAGAAAGAAAACUCGAUUCCUGAAGUAGUGGCGAGCGAAACAGGAAGAGCCUAAACCAGGAGAAGUAAUUCACCUGGGGUGACGGACUACAUAAAUGACUCAAGAAUCUAAUAGAAAUGUUUUGGAAAAGCAUACCAUAGAAGGUGAAAGUCCAGUAUAUGAAAGAAGAAGGAGCAUAGUAGUAUCCAGAGUAAUGCGAGGCACGUGGAAUCUCGUAUGAAAAAGUGGGGACCACCCCAUAAGGCUAAAUACUACUUGGUGAUCGAUAGUGAAAUAGUACCGUGAGGGAAAGGUGAAAAGAACCCCGGGAGGGGAGUGAAAGAGAACUUGAAACCCUAUGUUUACAAGCAGAUAGAGCGAUUUAAGGCGCGAUAUCGUACUUUUUGUAGAACGGUCCAGCGAGUUAUUGUAUAUGGCAAGGUUAAGUACUAAGUAAGGUACGGAGCCGAAGUGAAAGCGAGCCUGAAUAGGGCGAAUUAAGUCAUAUGUAAUAGACCCGAAACCGGGUGACCUAUCCAUGGUCAGGAUGAAGCUAGAGUAAAAUCUAGUGGAGGUCCGAACUCAUAAGCGUUAAAAAGCUUCGGGAUGAACUGUGGAUAGCGGAGAAAUUCCAAUCGAACUCGGAGAUAGCUGGUUCUCCUCGAAAUAGCUUUAGGGCUAGCCUUGUGUAGUAGUAUAUGGGGGUAGAGCACUGACUGAGGUAGGGGCCUAACCAGGUUACCAAACUCUAUCAAACUCCGAAUACCGUAUAUGUAAGCACAGGAGUCAGACUGUGGGAGCUAAGUUCCAUGGUCAAAAGGGAAAGAGCCCAGAUCGUCAAUUAAGGUCCCAAAGAUAUAGCUAAGUGGCAAACGAUGUGAUUUUGCGUAAACAACCAGGAUGUUGGCUUAGAAGCAGCCAUACAUUUAAAGAGUGCGUAAUAGCUCACUGGUCGAGUGAAGUUGCGCGGAAAAUUACCGGGGCUAAGCUAUACACCGAAAUUGCGGAUUUACAUUUGAAAUACAAUGUAAGUGGUAGAGGAGCAUUCUGUAGUAGGGAGAAGCAUAAGCGAGAGCAUGUGUGGACGAGGCAGAAGAGAGAAUGCUGGAAUAAGUAGCGAGAGCAAGGUGAGAAUCCUUGCCGUCGAAAGUCUAAGGUUUCCUGGGGAAGGUUCGUCCGCCCAGGGUAAGUCGGGACCUAAGGUGAGGCCGAGGAAGAGGAAAAACUCGUAUCGCAAGAUAUAGUGAAAAUAAAGUAACGAAUUAUCAAGAAGCACACUGACGAGAAAAGCUUGUAGAUAUUGUAUAUAAAUACCCGUACCGCAAACCGACACAGGUAGAUGAGGAGAGGAUCCUAAGACGAGCGGGAGAAGCAUUGUUAAGGAACUCGGCAAAUUGACCCCGUAACUUAGGGAGAAGGGGUGCCAAGGUAACACUUGGCCGCAGUGAAGAGGUUCAAGCAACUGUUUAACAAAAACACAGGUUUCUGCUAAAUCGAAAGAUGAAGUAUAGGAGCUGACGCCUGCCCAGUGCUGGAAGGUCAAAGGGAAGUGUUAGUAAAAACUUACGAAGCACAGAACUCAAGCCCCAGUGAACGGCGGCCGUAACUAUAACGGUCCUAAGGUAGCGAAAUUCCUUGUCAGGUAAGUUCUGACCCGCACGAAAGGCGUAAUGAUUUGAACACUGUCUCAACAAUGUACCCGGCGAAAUUGUAGUACUAGUGAAGAUGCUAGUUACCUGCGACAAGACAGAAAGACCCCAUGGAGCUUUACUGCAGCUUGAUACUGGGUUUUGGUAAUUUAUGUACAGGAUAGGUGGGAUACGAAGAAGCAAGUGCGCCAGCAUUUGUGGAGUAGCCGUUGGGAUACCACUCUUAAAUUAUUGAAAUUCUAACCUGUGAUCAUGAACUGGUCAGGGGACAAUGUCAGGUGGGCAGUUUGACUGGGGCGGUCGCCUCCUAAAGAGUAACGGAGGCGCCCAAAGGUUUCCUCAGCACGGACAGAAAUCGUGCGCAAGAGUGUAAAGGCAGAAGGAAGCUUAACUGGGAGACUGACAAGUCGAGCAGAUACGAAAGUAGGGCUUAGUGAUCCGGCGGUAGUGAGUGGAAAUGCCGUCGCUCAACGGACAAAAGUUA
rnacentral:rRNA from 1 species